rnacentral:lncRNA from 12 species
UCUGACUGGGACCUGCUGCUGCCGCGGACACACAGUGCGGGGCCUGGACUUGAUUUUACUACGCGGAGAGGGAAUGUCAUGACCGAGCCUGGGGGAUAAAUGUUAGAUUCGUGCGUGCGUGAACAUUCUCGCGGUUUGAAGGGAAUAUGGAGCGGCUUCUGACGCGACGCGCGCUUGGAAAGGCGUGAAAAUAUCCGUGACGUUACGGCGGAAUGUCAAUGAAACUGAGGCGAUCUGGAUGAAAUAAAAAGAAAUCCGGAACAGCCAGAAUUAAACACAUCCUCACUCCUCCAUGUGUCCGCGUGAAUGCAAACGGGACGCCGCGUUAACGGAACUGUUGCUGCUCUGAGACCUGUGGCUGGUUCGGAACCGUGAUCUGGCCCGGUUCUGCGGUUCGGCUAGUGUGUGUAACUGCGGAGGAUGGGAGAUUUAAGAGAGUCCGUGCAGAAGAAGGUCUCGGGGACACGCGCUCACACUACAGCAUCUCCCAUGACGAACAAGCAAAACAACCCUAUUCUUCAGACAGAUGUUGAAUGUCUUGUGUGGAACUGCAUGUUGAGGUGUAGAUGGGGUCUUGAAAUCGCCUGGAGGCUCCAUUCGGCCUUCAGAAGCAGGCUUUCCUCUCAUGAAAUCUCCAGUAUUGCACUGUAUUGAACACACUUGCGAUAAGCCAGUCAAGCCUCUCACAGCAAAAACAAUCAUCCGAUCAAAGGAUGUCCUUUGUAGGAUUAUACAGUUCAUUGAGACUGAGACUGAGUCUUUCCAGUCUUUGCUCAAAGUGAUGCAACAGACAGACUUCAGCAAGAACUUCAGACUUGUUUGAUCUUAAGUUUAGCAGUUCGCAACCUUUUUCACAUUUGCAGAUCUGAUAAAUCAUUAAUGGUGUGGAAUAUGUCGCGUGUGUAUAGUCCAGUCUCUGCAAUAUAAUGCGCAACGAACAUAAGGUAGUUAACUAAUGUUCUCCGAAAAUGUUUUCCAAAAAACAGCUCUCUGCAAGAACAACGGAGACAUUUUCCCCUCAACAUCCAGCAGUCUGUCACCAAAAAAACAUCAAGAGAUUGCAUGUGGCCUAGAGAAAUAUAGCAGCUGUAUUGUUUAAAAUUGUAUUACAUUCUGUAAUACAUUAUUGAGCAGUGCGUAGAAAUUCAGGGCUCACGUAACUUUAAUCACAGCUUUUCCUUGAUGCUGAACCAUGCAAAAGUCCAUCUCUCUGAAUCAAAGACGAGUUUAAUAACAUAACUGAUUGCGUCCUAAAUUCCUAAAUUCUAAAUCUAGUUGCUUGACUGAUACAGACCCUUUAAUGUGGGUCACUUUCGUCUGUUUUCAGUUCAGUAGGUUGAAUUUAACAGUCUGUUUCAGCACAUUGUUCAUCUCACAGCAUGAACCUAUUCAGACAAAUCUGUGUUUUAUUUUAAACUAAUUGACUCCGGGAGUUAAUCAUCACCUCACGUUGAUUAAAAUGGAUCCAGAUUAUUCAGGAUUCCCAUCAAUGCAUCUCCGGUCAGGCUUUUCAGUGAAUGUCUUGAGUUAUAAAGUGAGUCAUGUGUGAAUCAGUCCAUUGAUUGUCGUACUCUUUGUUGUUAUCAUCAUGCAUGUGUGUGAGUGCGUUCAUGAUCGAUAAAGCUUCUAAUAAUAGUUGCAAAAAUAUUCUUGUGCAUUCAGUAGAACAAGAGUCCACGCAUUUUUGCAUUCUGUCUGCACUAUUUUGUUAUUGUUUGUAAUUUUUUUGUUUACACAUGCGUCAGACGGACGUCACAGAUCAUUGUGUUGCAGCUGUUUUUUUUUUAAUCAUCUCAAAUAGUAAGUGUCACAUUUUUAUGACAAUGUAUUGAGGUUUAAUUUGAGCUGUCUGUGUUUCCAUUUUCUCCCAGUUUAUGUGGCAUUAUGUCCAAAAAUAGACCCAGAAGCAAGUGUUAUGAAAUUAACUGGUUUAGAAUAAAAAUUAUGUGUAGUUUACUGUAAGUUAAUUUUGUUUCAACAAUAUUGUGUCCAUUUUAUUUGCGGUCAUUAAUUGUUCAGAUAUUGUUUAUGUUUUAUAAAUUAUAAUAUGCAUAAAAUAUGUAUGUAUAAAAAAUUAAAUAUGUAUAAUCAUCUACAGGUUAUGCUACAGGUUUGAUUAUAGUCAGCUUUGGAGAUGGGCAAUACUAUGAGACCAGAAAAAAAAUAGUAAAAUAUUUUCUCAUCACUUCAGGCUGCUUUCAUUUAUGACUCAUUUGGAUGAGGUGUUGUGGAUGUACAGUCUCAUAAUACAAACAUUAGCAUAUCAUUCAUAUUAAUAAGGCCACUGAGUGAGGCUGGAUGUACUUCUACAAGCAUUUCACAAGCUAUUUUCCUAUCUAAUGCACUGACAUUCAUAUGUUUUCAAGUGUGGCUCAUGCACUCUUCGUGGGCCUCUUUAAGCGAGCGUCAUGAUAUCCGACCGAUGCUUAACUGAGGCUUUAUUAGGAUUGCAUGACACUGAAAUCAUCCAAAACCACAUCUAACAAUAGGAUGAUUGUUUGAAAUGCAUGUCAUUUGGUCUGAUUUUCUAUCCUCAAGUGCAUUUAACAGGGUUCCCACAGGUCCUUGAAAUCCUUGAAAUUUUGUGAAUCUGAAAAAAAAAUUUCAAGGCCCUGGAAAGUUUUUGAAAAUAAGCAUACAUUGACACAGGUCCUUGAAAAUGCUUGAAUUUAUUUUGUGCAAGAAGUUUUAUAUGGAAAGAAUUCCAUAUUAUUCCCUCUGGUCUGCUAAUGCAUUAUUUCGCCAACACUUCGUGGCCUGUGCAUACUAGCUUGCUUGAUUUACAUUAGUUACAUGCAUUUAUGCGUUACGUUCAGUGUUUCCCACGUGAGGUACUUUGUGUUGUACGUUGCCAUGACAUUAGAGUGACCAUAUUUCCUUGUUUUCCCAGACAUGUCCUCUUUUUGGAUCUAAAAAAUCCCUCCGGCCGGGAUUUCUGAACUGCCCAAAAUGUCUGGGAUUCUGCUUUUGCUUUCUGCAGUCGCCAAUGGUUGUGUGAGUUUUUGUAUUAGAGAGCCACAAGGGACAGUUUUCUUAAUCCUGCUCCCACUGAAUUUCUGACCAUUAUUGCCCGCUCCCAUGAUAAUUUUUGCAAACAUUCUAAUAUUGCAUAAUUUUCGUGCAUUUGGGGAGCAUCUAUCAGUAUGCAAAGUAUUUAAAUCUCUUUUAAAUAAGCGCUCGCUGUUCACUUUCACUUCGGUUUACGCGAUCAUGCACGCUCUGUAAAGUAAGAUCAGAUAUUUGUCAAUAAGCUCAGGAUCUGUUGAGCAGCAAAUCCUCCAGCAUGGUCUAUCAGCCAUCUCUCUCUACUCAACCCAUGAUCAGUCAAAUCUGACUCCUGCAGCUCGUGUUGAAUGCAGGGUUGCCAAGUCUGCAUUUUUUUUUUCCCCUAUGGCUACUUUUAAACUGUUAAUGGGUUGAUUUUGCCCCGUGGGUUAAAGUUUUGAAAUGCUGCUUAAAUUACAUUUGACUGAAAUGCUUGUAUUGAAACAUUUUGCAUUCUGCCUAUGAUAAAACUGUGCUAGAUGUUCAGUUUUGUGAAGGAGGGCCACUGGAUAUAAGCUUUUUAGCUGUGGUUAUGAUCAAUGUGUAAAAAAAUUUAUUUUAGGUAUGGAAAUGACAUAUUUUCACACUAUUUUAACCACCAACCAACCACACCCCAGCCCCCCGCCCCACCCGCACCCAAUGUUCUCUUUUUGGAAAACUAAAAUAUGGUCACCCUACAUGAUGUUCAUGCACGCACAAAACUACUAGAGUGGCACCUCAACGCUUCACAGACACACCGUGAAAUUAAUGUUGAAUUGCUUUGCUUGUUAAGAUAAUGUAAACUCAUGAGGUAAAAAAAACUUUGGAGCAUAUCCAUAUAUCUUGAAAACUUCUGGUUACAUGAGCCUGAACUCUUUACAAUAAAAUCCAUGCAAAAGUUAAUAUUAGAUGCUUUUAAAAUACAGUAUAGGAUGUACUGAAUAUUCUUCAGUUUUAUGCAAAACAGAAAUACCACAAAUAGAAUAUCAGAUCUCUGUCAUGGCCAAAAAUAAAUGCAAAAAAAGCUUUUUUGCAUAGUUGUGUUUGAGACAUGAAAACUGUAACAAUGUAUCUUACAAGAUAACACAAUGUAACCUCGCUCUCACUUGAAAUGUGUCCCCACAUCAAGUCCUUGAGUUUGAGGGUAUUGGACCUGGAAAGAAUUUGAGGUUAAUCAAUGUGCAGGAAGCCUGAUUUAAACCACACCAGCAGUAGAUUAUUUGAUGAUGAGCCGUUUGCAGAGUCAUCAGGCAAAUAUUUCUGUGGAGGCGUGGCAGUCUGAAGGUGACUGACAGGCUACAAGACUCAUUCUUGAGUUACAGAGAGCUAUACAUUGUUGCUAAUUUGCACACGCAUUAGAGAGCAGAAGUGACUGUGCACUUUUUUUGGCUUUGCUUCUGGAAGUAUAUUUCCUGUUUAGUUUCUCCAUAGGAAUUUCUAACCAAGCCAGCUAGCUCCGAGAUAAAUCACAACCUUUAAUUUGAUGCAGAAGUAUUGUGCAAAUAUUCAAGCUUGGUCAUGUUUGAAAAUCAGAAAAAAAGACAAAGGCAGAACACAUGAGACUUGCACUUAAAUGAAUUAAUGAAGCGCGGUGAAUGAUGUAAACAAAAUAGAAACAACAGCACAUGCACAGUGUGAUAAACUAUGCUUAUGCUAUGCAUUAUAUUAUACUAUACUUUUACUUAGAGCCAUGGAUAAAUGUUAAAAAUCAAUAUAUUUUAUCUUUGUUGUUAAAUAUUAAAUUGUUUCGAAGAUCCAUCUCUAACGUUACAGUGACUUCUGUGAUAGUGGAUAUAUUGUGGAUCUCUCUUCAGGAUUGUAGGUAAUGUAGUUCUUUAUUAUUAUUAUUAUUAUUAUUAUUAUUAUUAUUAUUAUUAUUGUUAUUUAUAAANNNNNNNNNNNNNNNNNNNNNNNNNNNNNNNNNNNNNNNNNNNNNUUUUUUUAAAUAUACUGUGCGUGUAUGUGUGUGUGUGUAUAUAUAUAUAUAUAUAAGAAAGAUAAUAUAGAAAGAAUAUAUACAUCUAAUAUCAUCUCAGUGAAGAUCAUAGUAGCUGUGUCUUGAAAUAUAUCUCCAUGGAUAAUGCAUAUGUUUAUCAUCCCAUCAGAUUCAUGUGCUGCACAUCCAAAUUGAGAUGAUGUGCUGUGUAUCCCAAGUUGAAGUAUUUUUAACUUGAUGUGACAUGCUUAUGUCAGGAGAUGCUGGAAAGCAACCAAAGACCUCUGUCUGCCGCAUGUAUACAAUGACUGCAAAGUAGCGCGUCCAGAACG